rnacentral:rRNA from 1 species
ACCCGACUGCUAUCGGAUUGGGAUUUAGCCAUGUUAGUUGUGCGUUCGCUGGCUACAGUGGACGCAGCAUACGGCUCAGUAACACGUAGUCAACCUGCCCUGGAGACGCGGACAAACCCGGGAAACUGGGGCCUAUCCGCGAUAGAUGACCUCAUCUGGAAGGAGAGGCCGUCCAAAAGGGUGCACGGGUAUGCUCUGUGCAAACCGCUCCAGGAUGGGACUGCGGCCGAUCAGGCUGUUGGCGGGGUAAUGGCCCACCAAACCUGUAACCGGUACGGGCUUUGAGAGAAGGAGCCCGGAGAUGGACACUGAGACAAGGGUCCAGGCCCUACGGGGCGCAUCAGGCGCGAAAACUUCGCAAUGCGCGAAAGCGUGACGAGGCUAGUCCGAGUGCUUCCUGCUAAAGGGAGCUUUUCUCGGCUGUAAAUAGGCCGGGGAAUAAGGGGAGGGCAAGUCUGGUGUCAGCCGCCGCGGUAAUACCAGCUCCUCGAGUGGUCGGGACGAUUAUUGGGCCUAAAGCACCCGUAGCCGGUUUCGUAAGUCCUCUGUUAAAUCCAGUCGCUCAACGGCUGGCCUGCAGGGGAUACUGCGAGACUAGGAGGCGGGAGAGGCGGACGGUACUCCGCGUGUAGGGGUAAAAUCCUUUGAUCCGCGGAAGACCACCAGUGGCGAAGGCGGUCCGCCAGAACGCGCUCGACGGUGAGGGGUGAAAGCUGGGGGAGCGAACCGGAUUAGAUACCCGGGUAGUCCCAGCCGUAAACGAUGCGAGCUAGAUGAUUCGAUCGCAGUUCGCGAUCGAAGUGUCGCAGGGAAGCCGUUAAGCUCGCCGCCUGGGGAGUACGGUCGCAAGGCUGAAUUGCGAUCAGAAGCAUUCUGGUCGCACAGUUCACUUAAAGGAAUUGGCGGGGGAGCACCACAAGGGGUGAAGCCUGCGGUUCAAUUGGAGUCAACGCCAGGAAACUUACCAGGAGCGACAGCAGGUUGAGAGUCAGGCUGAAGACUUUACUUGACGAGCUGAGAGGAGGUGCAUGGCCGUCGCCAGCUCGUGCCGUGAGGCGUCCUGUUAAGUCAGGCAACGAGCGAGACCCUUGCCGAUAAUUGCUAGCUGCCCAGCGAUGGGCGGAGGCUAGUUAUCGGGACUGCCGCUGCUAAAGCGGAGGAAGGAGAGGGCCACGGCAGGUCAGUAUGCCCCGAAACUCCUGGGCCACACGCGGGCUGCAAUGGUAGGGACAGUGGGUCCCAACCUCGACAGAGGAAGGCAAUCCUCAAACCCUACCCCAGUUGUGAUUGAGGGCUGAAACCCGCCCUCAUGAAUAUGGAAUCCCUAGUAACCGCGUGUCAUCACCGCGCGGUGAAUACGUCCCUGCUCCUUGCACACACCGCCCGUCGCUUCACCCGAGUUGGGUUUAGGCGAGGCUAGCUCUAGUUGGGCUAAUCGAACCUAAGUUCGGCAAGGGGGGAG